GAUGAACGCUGGCGGCGUGCCUAACACAUGCAAGUCGAGCGAACAGACGAGGAGCUUGCUCCUCUGACGUUAGCGGCGGACGGGAGAGUAACACGUGUAUACCCUACCUAUCAGACUGGGAUAACUUCGGGACACCGGAUCUAAUACCGUAUAAUAUAUUGCACCGCGUUGGUCGAUAGUAAAAUACGGUUUUUCUGUCACUUAUAGAUGUAUCCGCGCCGCAUUAGCUAGUUGUGAAGGUCACGGCUUACCACGGCAACGCUGCGUAGCCGACCUAAGAGGGUGAUCGGCGGCAUGGGAACUGAGACACGGACAAGACUCCUAAGGGAGGCAGCAGAAGGGAACGGGCGGCAGUGGGCGAAAGCCUGACGGAGCAAGGGGGCGUGUGUGAUGAAGGUCUUCGGUUCGUAAUACUCUGUUACUGGGGAAGAACAAAUGUGUACUGAGCUGAGGACGUAGUGACGGUACUUAAUCAGAAAGCACCGGCUAACUACGUG
rnacentral:rRNA from 1 species